UCUGAACCUCCAUCCCACA
rnacentral:miRNA from 1 species